ensembl:snRNA U1 U1 spliceosomal RNA
AUGGUCACCUGGCAGGGGAGACACCAUGAUCACAAAGGUGGUUUUUCCCCGGGGGAGGCGCACCCAGUGCACUGCGGCUGUGCUGACCCCUGCGAGUUCCCCAAAGGCGGGAAACUUGACUGCAUAAUUUGUGGUAGUGGGGGACUGCAUUCGCGCUCUCCCCUG